UAAAAGAAGACCGGAGAACCAUUUUCAGCCAUUCGUUCAUCAAGAUCUACGGUGGAUGCAUCAUCUUGUUGGAUGAAUGCAGAUCCUGGGUUCGAAUCCUGAAGGGAGCAUUUUUAUUUUAUUUUUUUAGUGCAUUAAUUUUAACAGCGAAUGCAUUAAUUUUUACAGUGGAUGCAUUAGAUUUGAUGAUUCUCCCGUUCUCACAAAUAAUAUAGUUCUCUCUAGAACCACA
rnacentral:lncRNA from 1 species